rnacentral:rRNA from 1 species
AGGCGGCGUGCUUAACACAUGCAAGUCGAACGUGAGAGGUAGCAAUAUCUUGAAAGUGGCGAACGGGUGAGUAACACGUAGGUGACCUGCCUCGGAGUGGGGGAUAACAGUUAGAAAUGACUGCUAAUACCGCAUGAAUCCACGGGAUUGGGAAAUUCGGUGGAGAAAACUCUGGUGCUUCGAGAGGGGCCUGCGGUCGAUUAGCUAGUUGGUGGGGUAACGGCCCACCAAGGCGACGAUCGAUAGCUGGUCUGAGAGGACGAUCAGCCACACGGGAACUGAGACACGGUCCCGACUCCUACGGGGGGCAGCAGUGAGGAAUAUUGGGCAAUGGGCGGAAGCCUGACCCAGCAACGCCGCGUGGAGGAAUGAAGGCCUUCGGGUUGUAAACUCCUUUUGCAGGGGAAGAGGAAGGACGGUACCCUGCGAAUAAGUCACGGCUAACUACGUGCCAGCAGCCGCGGUAAUACGUAGGUGACGAGCGUUAUCCGGAAUUACUGGGCGUAAAGCGCA